rnacentral:lncRNA from 1 species
CAACCAGGUCUAGAACCCAAACCUUCAACCCCUGAGCUUUCCUGCCUUCGAGUCCUCGGAGCUCUCCUGGAGGCUGAGCAGGCAACAGAGCCUGCUCCUCAGCUGGAUGUGGCCCGUGGGAGGUGGAGAAACUGAGGCUCAGAUAAAUGACUAAGAAGUAAAGUGAGGUCCCAUAGCCAGUGAAUGGCAGAGCAGGGAUUCGAACCCAGGUCUCUCAUCUGGGAAGUGGGAUGAUAGCGCCAACCUAGCUGGAUUGCUGUGACUGCCAGCACAAUGCCUUCUAAGGGUUCAAGAUGAGAUUACUUAGUCCCAGAUGGGUUAAGUAACUGGCCCAAGGUCACAGCGCUGGUAAGCAACUGGGCUUCAAUCCAACCAUCCUGACUCCAGAAGCCUCUUUGAACUACCACCUUCUGCACCUGCCCCAGGGCUUCUUCGCCUGAGCCGGUGCCUUGCUGCCGCCCUGCUCAUCUCUUCUGGGAAGAUGCCUCUCAUCUUGCCAGUCCUCAAGCCAGAAGCCUCCGGUGCUGCCCUAGGGCUCCCUGAAUAGGCAUCCCUAAGGCAUCCCUCCUGGUGUUCAAACCACAUCCUUCCUGGCUAAGCUUCCAUUCCCCAGGGUAGCCCUCCACACUUUGGAGCCUCAGCUCACCUCUCACUCUCACACUUCAGUUUCACACUUCCCUUCUGAAUGGUCCCACCUCUGUGCUUUUGCUUAAGCUGUGCACACUUCCCAGAGUGCUCUUUCCCCUAUGUCUGCCUGUGCUCCAAUACCCUAUGCCUGAGCUGACCCAUGACAUACAAGCACCUACAGAGGCCUGGGGGAAGGAGGCAGUGGUAUGUGUGUCAGUGUGGGGAGUCAGUGAAGAGGUUUGGGGCUUUAGGGUCAGUUAUGUGACUUCAGGGCAAGUCCCCAUCUCCCUGAACCCCAGUUUCUGCAAAAUGAAGAUAUCCAUCCCAGCUUCUCCCAAGGUUUAUAAUGGUAAUCUGUGAGGUUCUGGCACAUGAUGAAUCCAUAACUACCCGUUGUGACAAGUUCCCCACUUGUGAAGUCAAAUGAAGACCCCCUGGUGUUGACAGUGCAGGAAAACCUGUGCCCGAGCACCUUGUCCCUAGGGAGAACCCUACCUUCAGUGCCUCUCUGAACAACAGGGCCAGGAAGGGGUCACUGUAUAGCAGUUGGUCCCUAGUGACCAGUCCUGGCAGAGGGCCUUUAUCCCACUUCCAGUAGCCCAGCACCAACCAUCCCCAGCUCUGGGAGGGGGUGGGCAGCACCCUCCUUCCUCCACAUUGUUGCCACCUCAGAGAGUCAGAAUCCAGGGAGACAGUCUCCUGGCAGCGGAGCUCCUGCUGCCCGCCAUGGGUGUCUGUGAUGCUGCCGUGCCCACUGGGGGCUGCAGGCACUCCAGCAUCAGGAUGGACUAAAUCUCGGGAGUGGGAAGGGGACUCCAGCCAGGGGCACUGGAGACAGGGCCAGCCUGAGUGCCUGCUUCUCCCAGGGGCAGGUGCCAGCAUGGUGCACCCCUCAAGGAGUGUGGCAGGUAAGAUUGAGGUCCUGGCUGCCCCAGGCUCCUGUGCCAUCGAGAGGGAAAGCACCUGGAACAGGUAUACAGUAGAUGCUUAGUGAUGAGGAGAAUCUUCACUUGGUGGAAUUCUGAACACUUUGGGUACCACCAGAGUCAGAAUUCCCAGAGGAGGAGGCAGGCAUUUGAUAACGGAUGUCUGGAGGAUAUAGCAUGUUCAACCUUCCCCUCUCCAUGAGAGGAAGUGGUGACCUCAACCCCAGCACCCUCCUCUGCCCAUUCACACCCACCCACUCCCACCUCUCUGCCAGCCUCAGUUGGAUGUGGAGCAGAAUGUAAUGAGGACUUACCUGUCCACAAGGACUUCACAACUGUUCCAAGGCGAUGGAUGGGCAGGUGCUAACGCAGCCCCUCAGUGUCCCCCUUCCCUUGCUUUUGGGGUGGGCUUGGGGCCCCCGGGGGGUCCUAACUCACUGAAGAUACCAGGGCCCAGCUUCUGAGUAUUCCUAGAGGCCAUUUCUACCCCUAGAAACUUUACAUGGAGCCAAAAGCCCAUUUGAAGCUCAGUCUGGGCCAGGAGAGGCUAAUCAUAAAAGGGAUAUUUUUUAAGUGUACAGAAAUAAGAAUUUAUUUUUGAAGACAUGAUUUAUAUUUUGAAUGGCUAAUGCACUCACAUGAUUCAAAAUUCAAAAUUCCAAAAGAACCGACAGUGCAAAGUCGCUCCUCCUUUGGUCCCCACCACCCAGUUUCCCUCUGCAGAGGGAACCUUGUUGCCAGUUCUUGUGUAUUCUUCCAGAGAUCUUCUAUGUAUAAACCGUCAUCCUCCUAAAAAAAAAAAAAAAAAAAAAAAAAAAAAAAAAAAAAAAAAAAAAAAAAAAAAAAAAAAA